rnacentral:rRNA from 1 species
GCCCCACCCACCUAGAGGAGCCUGUUCUAUAAUCGAUAACCCCCGCUUAACCUCACCACUUCUUGCCAAUACCGCCUAUAUACCACCGUCGCCAGCCCACCCCGUGAGAGAAAUAGUAGGCACAAUGAUAAGUCACCAAAACGUCAGGUCAAGGUGUAGCGUAUGAAGUGGAAAGAAAUGGGCUACAUUCUCUAACCUAGAGCACACGAAAAAUCAUAUGAAAUUAGAUUAGAAGGAGGAUUUAGUAGUAAAAAGAAACAAUAGUGUUCUUUUUAAGUUGGCCCUGGGGCGCGCACACACCGCCCGUCACCCUCUUCAACUAAUAAAACACGAUUUAUAAAACACAAAACAAACACAAGAAGAGGUAAGUCGUAACAUGGUAAGUAUACCGGAAGGUGUGCUUGGAAUUAC